UGGGGAAUUGUUCACAAUGGGCGCAAGCCUGAUGACGCAACGCCGCGUGGAGGAUGAAGGUCUUCGGAUUGUAAACUCCUGUUGCUCGGGACGAAAAGCUCCGACCUAAUACGUCGGAGUCUGACGGUACCGGGUGAGGAAGCCCCGGCUGACUCUGUGCCAGCAGCCGCGGUAAGACGUAGGGGGCCAGCGUUGUUCGGAAUUACUGGGUGUAAAGGGUUCGUAGGCGGUGUGGCAAGUCGGGAGUGAAAUCUCUGGGCUCAACCCAGGGGCUGCUUCCGAAACUGCCGUGCUGGAGUGUGGGAGAGGCGCGUGGAAUUGCAGGUGUAGCGGUGAAAUGCGUAGAUAUCUGCAGGAACACCCGUGGCGAAAGCGGCGCGCUGGACCACUACUGACGCUGAGGAACGAAAGCUAGGGGAGCAAAC
rnacentral:rRNA from 1 species